GAAAGUUAGUCAUGCAGGUUUGCAGUGACAUGAAGCAUGAAGGCACAUUUUGUGGUUGGAGGAAGGAGAUCUUACUAAUGGCUUUCCUGGAUGUAACUGCUGUGUGAUUAAAAAACAAAGCAUAUUUUGCCAGCUGAACCAACCCUUCACCUUUUGAGUAAACAUGGAGUCUCAUUCUGGACAGCAGGGAACCAAUCCUGCGGGUAGCCUUGACCCCAUUUCAACAGAUUGCAGAUGAAGCAACCACCACACAUGACUGAUGGCCAGUAAUACAAAUGACCACAGGAACAAUGCACGAGGAAUUGUGUAUGACACUGGACUGGAAAAUGUGUGAAUGAACAGUUGUUAUGGUCAGCUCAUGGCCCCAACAAAUAAAGGAACCAUUCACCGAAAUCUCAAAAUAACAACCAAAGUUUAUUACAUAAUUCUAG
ensembl:lncRNA